GAUGUUUCAUCUCUACAUGGGGUAAUUCAAAUCCGAUGUGUGUUGCCACAUGCUUUGACAAAACAUUGAACUUUGGUGCUAAAGCCUUUGCUGCUGGCCCGCCAUCAGACCCAAAUUCACUGAACUCUUGAUAAGCGGAGAGAACAAAGACGGAUACGAAGAGAAGUCUUCCAACGAAUGACAUGGUCGCCAUUACAAUGCAAAUGGGGAUUCAAAUUUCUCUCUAUAAAAGAGAAAAC
rnacentral:misc_RNA from 1 species